rnacentral:rRNA from 1 species
UACAGAGGUCUCAAGCGUUGUUCGGAUUCAUUGGGCGUAAAGGGUGCGUAGGCGGCGCGGUAAGUCGGGUGUGAAAUUUCGAGGCUUAACUUCGAAACUGCAUUCGAUACUGCCGUGCUUGAGGACUGGAGAGGAGACUGGAAUUUACGGUGUAGCGGUGAGAUGCGUAGAUAUCGUAAGGAAGACCAGUGGCGAAGGCGGGUCUCUGGACAGUUCCUGACGCUGAGGCACGAAGGCCAGGGGAGCAAACGGG